GCCCGGGUGCUGGAAUUGGCAGACAGUGUGGACUCAAAAUCCACUGGCCGCAAGGCCGUGAGAGUUCAAAUCUCUCCCUGGGCA
rfam:Parcubacteria group bacterium CG1_02_40_82 cg1_0.2_scaffold_2090_c, whole genome shotgun sequence.